AUCUAAAUCUCCAUCAAAGCAUGAAACACACAAAGCACAGCAGGUGUUUUCCAUCAGCUAAUCACCUGCUCUGACAUCACCGACUGGGGUCUCACCUAAAGUGCAACGAGCUGGAGAGACAGAACGAAAAAAAAAAGAAAUGAAAGGUCAAAAUGUGAUAGUUUUAUGAGGGCUUUUUCGACGUGCGCUGCACUAUGUUUUGUGGGUGUUAUUUUCAAACAGUGGGGGAUACGUCUGCAGUCCGUGUGCCAGCUCCAGCCCUGGUAUUGUGUGGAAUGUGAGAAGCCUGGCUCCGGUCCCAGACGGGGGGAAACACAGCUCUGGACAGGGCUGAAUGAGGUGUCACACCAAUCACGGCACUUAACCGAUAAGCCGAGACCCCGACACGCUUGAUUCUCCAAACCACCCACAGAAAAACAGAGACGAGGGUAUAAUCAGCCUGCCGUUCUGCAGUUCCAGACUGUCUCCCAUCGAGAAAUCGCAAGUUGAUAAAUCGCACGAUUUCGCUCUCGAAUCGCUCUCACCAGGACGGAGAGACAUUGAAUAAAUAGUGAGCAACGCUCAGUCCGCCGGGCUCCGCUCCAAGAAAAGGUGAAGCGGCUCCGUCCUCUGGAACCUCUGGAAGGCUCCCCAGCGUUGACAGACAAAGACAUCCUCUCAAAAAGCAACAUCUGUCGGAGAGCGUCAAAGAGACGCUGCGGGGAGAGACGGCCUCAGAGGCAGCAUGUGGGGAGGCUUCAGGAAUGUUUCUCCCCAGUUUGCGAGACUUUACGAUAUUAGCUUUGGGAUUAAUAAUUGUCAGAUACAAGGGGAUCAAACAAGUAAACUUGAGAAUUGGAUGAACUUAAAAUAAAGGGAGGUAGCACAGAUCAUUACAACUUGAAGUGUAAUCCGAUUUUUCAUCCUCCUGCACCCUGCCAGAACCCACAGUACAAGACAUGCAUGUUUUCCCAGUGCUAUCUUUUCUUGGAAGUUAGGCAUAAAAAAGAAAAAAAAGAAAAAAAAAAACCUGACUGACACGUUAUUGUAAAUUCACACUGUGUGGACGUCCUGCGGUAUCCAGCUCAAAUUCUCCAACACGGUUGUUUUUCAAUGCCAUUUCAGUUCCCCCGAC